UGUUGCUGUUGCUCCUUGCGUGGCCCCCACUGACACCAUGGGUGUUGGGGGCUUGUUCCUGCCCAGUGGGAAUGAACAUCCUGGCUCUCUACUUGGCCCUCUCUCACACCCCCUGACAGAGGCUCGGCCUCCUCAUUACAACCAGAGAAUAAAAUGGAAGAUUAGAGAAGAGAGAUUCUGUCUCAGGCCUUACAGCUUGGAAGAGUGGAGCUGGGCUGAUGGCAGCACCCAGCACCUGCACAGGUGCUUAGAAAAGGAAGAAAGAGUACAAACGUUAGCACACUACCAAAGGGGUGGAUCCAACACGAAACCUUGUGCAUGGUGGAGGGAAAAAGAAGGACACAAUGCUGACUGUGUGUGUAUGUGUGUGAGAGAGAGAGCACGAGCUGGUCAGCAGCAGGAGGCACAGGCCUGCUCGGACUCUUGGCCCCAGGGCCCUGCUCCUGGAUGCACGCAGCCUGGUGCUGCCCACACCCAACACUUCCAACCCAGCGCUUCCUCAGCCAAGGGAAAGGUGGGGGUGGGAAAGUGUCACUUCUCAUUUCCUUUCACCAGCUCAAGAAGAAACAGAGCUCGGUUUUCUGAGAGGCUCAUAAUUAAAUGAAUUAAAAUGUUUUCCUUCACGGUGACUUUGCCAACUCCCGUCCACCUCUCCCUGGCCCCGUUCCCAGCAAGCAGCAGAGCCUGGGAGGACGCAGAAUGACAUGCUGUGUGCCUCCAGAGCAAUUAGCUUGUGCAUCGUCAUUUUGGGGAGAGAUUUAUGGCUGGCUUUAGGAGCAUUCCAGCCCAGACCUCUGCGGCCCAGAUUCGUCUGCUGAGGAAGUUCCUGGAAGCGGAGCCUCAAUAUUAAUUCCAAUUACAGUCAGAUGAGAGCCCAUUCAUAAGGAUUGCCUUCGACAGGCUCCUCUCCCGAUGCUCUGGGCUGACCUUGAGCCACCAUCACUGCCGCCAGCCUCUGAGAGAGAGGAAACGGUGCUGGGCUCAGCCGUGGGCUUCCCGGCAAGCCGAGGAGGCAGGCCGUGGACUGCUGGACAUUGAGGGGGAGAGCAGAGGAAGCUGCAGAGGAGGAAUAUGAAGGCCGUGACAUCCCAGCAUCUUUAGUGAGGGGACUCUCCCCAGUACCCUCCCUAGAUUCUUCUGAAAAGGUGGCAAUGCAGAGGGCACUGCCCAUGGUCUGAGAUCUCCCAGGCCCUGGGGCCACCCUUUGCCCUGGUUUCUGAAAUAGACGCCCUAGUCUCAGAGCAGGGGCUCAAGUCCUUGAUGGACUAAGGAGGCACUGCAGCCACAGCUUCCAGAGGGUCCCAGGCGAGCUCUGGGGCCACAGCCUCCUGUCUGUUCAUCAGUGUCCGCUCAGCCAAGCUGUGCCCCUGAGGUGUCUUGGGUGAGCUGGGCUGUCAGCGACCAAUGCACACUCAUUAGCACGUCUGCAGAUGGAUGUUCCUCACGGCACAAGACCCCGAGGACUAAAUAUAAACCCAAGGAAGCAAUUACCCGAGUAUUGAUUAUGGAUUAGGCUAACAACAUUACUAAUUACAUCUAAAGAUGUGUAUCCACUGCACCAGCCUGUUAAUAGCCUGCAUGAGGUAUUAAGGCACUAAUUAGGAAAAACAGCAGGAUUAUCAUCAGCUGUAAUUACAGGUCCCUGGAGAAUGAAGAUGGCCAAGGUGUGCAGCCUUGCUUUCCAUGACUCCAGCUUUCCAAGGACCCUCUUGGUAGAGGCCUUGAGGGCCACGUCCGUCACCCAAGACUGGAUAUUUCCAUCUGUCUGACAGAUGCUCUUUCAACUCCUGGCACCCUUCUUGUGUGGGCCGAGGUGGGCACACCCAUGCCGAAUGGCCACAGGGCACUGUGAAGGAGACGCAGACCUGUGUGGACUGGGGACAAGACGGCCCUGAGAGGACCACACUGGGGAUUGUAAACAACCUGAGAAGCCCCAAGCUCCUUCCAGAGAGGAACGAGAGGUUCUUAUAAAGCAUCUGAUCUAGAUCCUUCCUUCAGACACAGAGAGGCGGAGUGAGCGUCCGGGUCAGCGAGCAAGUGGUGAUGAGUGGCAGGGGGCCUAGCCCUGGUGUCCUGAGGGUGGCCUUCCUCCUUUGAAAUGGUGGUGGCUCACAAUGGUCAGGGACUGGUCCCCUUCCCACAGGACAGGAAGGUGGGGGAAUUUCUGGGUCCCUCCAUCUAUGGGGUUUCCUCCACCUCUGCUGCGACCACCUCUCCCCUUCCCAUCCUUGCCGCUACCUACGCCUUACUGGCCUUUUGGUUUACACUUAGAGUCACUCCUGGAAGCCUCCCCUCAUUCCGCUGACUGGGCAGGGCCCCUCUCUGGGCUCGCACAGGGCCCCCUCGGACAUACCGUGGUAGAAAGUUGAUGUCCAUCUUCCUCUCCCCACACCAUGAGCUCAGUAAACAGUGACUAAACGGAUCUGAUCGAAUAAGAGUGAGGGAACCAAUCAUGGUUCUACUUAUUUAUUUAUUUCGUUUUUAAACAAUUCUUGAGGUUUCUGUAUAUUUUUAAUAUUGUAGGAUCCUACUUUUGAAUACAACAUUUCCUCAUUAUAUUUUCUUUUAAGCUACUGAAUUUUAAUUACUCAAGGAACACAGGAAUACAUUUUUUGCUAAGAACUCAGACUUUAUAGAUAAAGUUAAAUCUGCCCUUUGCCACUAUCCAUAACCUCAGAGGGGGCACAGGCAUAGGUUCGUGUGGAUGCUUCUAGUCCUUUUUAAGCAUUUGAGUAAAUACAUUUGUACCCACAGAUAUAUAGAAUGUUACUUUGUGUGCCUGUGUGUGUAUGUGUGUGUGUUGCCCAUGUUGCCUGUGUCGCCCAUCCCAUGUGCAGAAGCAGAGCAUGACAAACCUGGUGGGAGGACAAUCUAACCUUGUCAUGGAUGGUUUUAUUGACCCUUUUGAUAAAAAAUGAGGAAUGAUAAUACUGGACUAUCUUUAACUAUCACACGACGGUUACUUAUGUUCUCCAUUGACACAGCUGACUUAGGGACUACUACACCACACUGCCAACUGGCACCAUUCCCCCUCUGGGACAUGCAUUGGGACGUCGGGGAGACCACUGGGGGCACUAGGGUCACAGGUCCCUGACUCUCCCUACCACCUCCUCCCCCUACUUUUGUCUCUGCCUAUUGUAGGCCAGGACCCAAGUCUUAUUCCUUCCUGUACUGGCACCUAAACAGGCCUGGUGUACCCCGUAGGAGCUCAAUGAAUCCUUGUCAAGGACAUGGAAUGAAUCCAAGGAGAGCUGUGUGAGAACAAGCAGCAUCCAGCCAGCAGCACCAGUCAGAACCCCGGCGCACUCCAACGGGGGCAUCUGAUGGUCAAGAGUCUAUUUAUAAAGGUGUGGGAGGGGGCUAAGGAGACCAAAAAGAGCAGAGAGCAGUGACCUUUUGAGGUGUAAAGGAACAAGGGCAAGGUGUGGGCAUUGCCCUGGAAAUGGGACUUGACAGAGAAGCUGGGCGUUGGUAGAGGGUGCUGCCACCCAUGGCAAACUGGCCGUGGAGGAAAUGGGAGAAGAGAGGCUCCUAGGUCACUGUCUCUGACCUCUCAGGUGGCCCCAGCAACAGAAGCAUACC